CAAUAGCGUAUAUUAACGUUGUUGCAGUUAAAAAGCUCGUAGUGGGAUUUCUGGAGGGAGCGUCGGCCCGUAUUUACGAGUGCGUGACGUCUCUGUCCAUCCUUGCGGGAAGGCACGGCAUUGAUUUGUUGUGUCGGAUCGCAUCAUUUACUGUGAAAAAAUUAGAGUGUUCAAAGCAGGCUUUCGCUUGAAUACAUUAGCAUGGAAUAAUAAGAUAGGACUUUGGUGCUAUUUUGUUGGUUGAGCCUAAAGUAAUGAUUAAUAGGGAUAGUUGGGGGCACCUGUAUUGCGUUGUCAGAGGUGAAAUUCUUGGAUUUACGCAAGACAAACAGCUGCGAAAGCGUCUGCCAAGGAUGUUUUCAUUAA
rnacentral:rRNA from 1 species